GACGAACGCUGGCGGCGUGCUUAACACAUGCAAGUCGAACGGAAAGGCCUGCUUUCCCUUGUGGAUUGCGGGUACUCGAGUGGCGAACGGGUGAGUAACACGUGAGUGAUCUGCCCCCAACUUGGGUAUAAGCCUGGGAAACUGGGUCUAAUUCCCGAUAGGACCGCAGGGUGGUGCCUGUGGUGGCAAACGAUUUUCUAGUGGUUGGGGAUGAGCUCGCGGCGUAUCAGCUUGUUGGUGGGGUAAUGGCCUACCAAGGCGGCGACGGGUAGGCGGCCUGGGAGGGUGGGCCGCCACAUUGGGACGGCGACACGGGCCAGACGCCUACGGGAGGCAGCAGUGGGGAAGAUUGCACAAUGGACGGAAGCCUGAUGCAGCGACGCCGCGUGGGGGAUGACGGCCUUCGGGUUGUAGACUCCUGGCGACCGCGAGGAAGCCACCUGGUUGGAAGGGUAGUGACGGUAGUGGUAGAAGAAGCACCGGCUAACUACGUG
rnacentral:rRNA from 1 species